rnacentral:rRNA from 1 species
UACAGAGGUCUCAAGCGUUGUUCGGAUUCAUUGGGCGUAAAGGGUGCGUAGGCGGCGCGGUAAGUCGGGUGUGAAAUCUCGGAGCUUAACUCCGAAACUGCACUUGAUACUGCCUUGCUUGAGUACUGGAGAGGAGAUUGGAAUUUACGGUGUAGCAGUGAGAUGCGUAGAUAUCGUAAGGAAGACCAGUGGCGAAGGCGAAUCUCUGGACAGUUACUGACACUGAGGCACGAAGGCCAGGGGAGCAAACGGG